GAUGAACGCUGGCGGCGUGCCUAAUACAUGCAAGUCGAGCGAACGGACGAGAAGCUUGCUUCUCUGACGUUAGCGGCGGACGGGUGAGUAACACGUGGAUAACCUACCUAUAAGACUGGGAUAACUUCGGGAAACCGGAGCUAAUACCGGAUAAUAUUUUGAACCGCAUGGUUCAAAAGUGAAAGACGGUCUUGCUGUCACUUAUAGAUGGAUCUGCGCUGCAUUAGCUAGUUGGUAAGGUAACGGCUUACCAAGGCUAGGAUGCAUAGCCGACCUGAGAGGGUGAUCGGCCACACGGGAACUGAGACACGGUCCAGGGUCCUACGGGAGGCAGCAGUAGGGAAUCUUACGCAGUGGGCGAAAGCCUGACGGAGCAGCGCCGCGUGAGUGGUGAAGGUCUUCGGAUCGUAAUACUCUGUUAUUGGGGAAGAACAGAUGUGUAAGUAACUGUGCACAUCUUGACGGUACCUAAUCAGAAAGCCACGGCUAACUACGUG
rnacentral:rRNA from 1 species